rnacentral:misc_RNA from 1 species
UACCAGAUGGCAAAAGGCUAACAUAGAA